AUGGAUACGGGCUCCUGCGAACUGAGGUCCGCGCGGCCUCGGCCCGGGAGUCCCGGCUCCCGCCGCUCUCGCGGGCCCUGCCCGGACGCCGGGCGCAGGGGUGCCUCCGCCGGGUGCGUUCCCCGGGCGGGCAGGGAAGGAGGCGGCGGAGCGGAGGAGGAGGGAGCCCGGGCAGCGGCUGCCCGCGCCCGCCUGACCCUCGAGGGGGUCGCUGUUGCCUCGCAGAUCCCUCCCUCGCUCCCUGCUUGCGUCCCUCCCUCGCUCCCUGCUUGCGUCCCUCCCUGCCGCUCUCGCCGCGUCCGCCUUUUGUUCGUGGAACCGCGCGCCCCCGAGCUGAGGCGGCGGGGCGGGGAGCUGGCGGGGCUGCGCGGGGCGGGCCGCGCCGGGCGGAGCCGGGGCCCGGGCCGCAGCCGGACUCGGAGCCCGAGGGAGCGAUCGGCGUGCGGGCGGCAGGGGCCCGGGCGCGCUCCGGGGGCGCGGCGAGGCCGAGGGGCGGGCGCCGGGCGGAGCCGCAGCCGGAGCCGGGGCGCCUGGAGGCGGUCGGGCCGCACUCUCCGAGCCCAGAGCAGCGGAGAGACCGCGCGGCGGGGCUUGGGGCGGAGACGCGGUGUCGGGGCCGAGGUGGGCCGAGAGCAGCCGCAGCCCGAGCGGCCGGAGCCGCGCCGGGUCCCUCCCCAGGGACGUCGAGGCCGGGCGGGCCUGGGCCAUGCGCGCAGCUCGCUGAGGCCGAGGGAGGCCGCGAUGGAGGCGCCGGCGACCGAGCCCCGGUCCGGGGCUGCGGUCCCCAGCCCGCGCCCGCACCCGCGCCCGCCCCGGAGAGGAAAAAGAGCCACCGCGCGCCGUCGCCGGCCCGGCCCAAAGACGUGGCCGGCUGGUCGCUGGCUAAGGGCCGCCGCGGCCCAGGCCCGGGCGCAGCCGUCGCCUGCAGCGCCGCGUCCUCCGCACGGCCGGACAAGAAGGGGCGCGCGGUGGCGCCCGGGGCACGGGGCGCGGGGGCGCGGGUGGCUGGGGUCCGCACCGGGGUCCGUGCCAAGGGCCGUCCGCGGCCGGGUGUGGGCCGCGACCGCCACCGCCACCUCCCAGCCUCACGGAUAG
rnacentral:lncRNA from 1 species